GGGAUUGUUCCAUCCUUAUCUUUUACUUAUUUUUAUUUUCACCUGCUGCUGCUCUGAGGAUAUUGCAUAAUUCAAGUGUGGGUAAACCAUCAAGAGACAGAACUCCUCCGACUAGGGACACCUAGAGGUUUAAAGGCUUGUGAUACAUGAUUCAAUAGCUAAAGUGUAGCAAAAAGGACAACAAUAUGCAUUGAAGUGAGAAGUGAUCGAUCAUUUUUUAGGAGUGAUCGAUCGGCCAGCAUCAAUAGAAUCUCCCCUAAAAAACACAGGGCCUUGCCAAUUGAGCACUAUGCAAAAGUGAUCGAUCAGGUAUUAAGUUGAAGUUUACAUCACCAGUCCAGUGAUCGAUCCACUACCCAAACUGAUCGAUCGCUCGCACCCAUAUCUAACUUUUAAAAUCAGCGUUGUUUUGCGAAUUUAAACCCCAAUUAAAUGGGUCCAGCGAGAAAAUGAAGAUUUUGACCAAGGAUAAAGUUGGGAUUACAAAGGGGAUAUAAAAAGUUCUUUGGGAGACUUUUUUGGGGUAUCAUGCUUACUUUGAGAGAAGGAGGAGCAACAAAGGAGGAAGAAAGUAGGAAAAGGAAAGAGUUUUGAUGGAGAUUUUCAGUGUUUUCUCUUAUCUCUUGUAUUUAUGAUUUCUCUUUACAUGGUCUUCAUGUAUCUAGCGACUUUGAGGAACUAAUCCUCUAACUAGGAUUCUAAUGGAACCCCAUCUUU